GCGCGGUUAGCUCAGUGGUAGAGCAACGUCCUUACACGACGAUGGCCGGGGGUUCAAAUCCCUCACCGCGCA
rnacentral:tRNA from 1 species